AGAGAUGCACUGGGUUUAAAGGGUGCGCAGGCGGUUUUGUAAGACAGAGGUGAAAUCCCCGGGCUCAACCUGGGAACUGCCUUUGUGACUGCAAGGCCGGAGUGCGGCAGAGGGGGAUGGAAUUCCGCGUGUAGCAGUGAAAUGCGUAGAUAUGCGGAGGAACACCGAUGGCGAAGGCAAUCCCCCUGGGCCUGCACUGACGCUCAUGCACGAGAGCGUGGGGAGCAAACA
rnacentral:rRNA from 1 species